CUUACUUCUCCGAUAAAUUAUUGAUUUUGAUUUUUUUUUGUCUGGUUUGUUUCUUACCUUAGUCGGAUGUAUCUAAUUUGGUAAAAUAUUAUUGAUUGUGAUUGAGAACAUAAUGCAUCCUUAGAUCGAUUGGUAUGAUUGAGAUAUGUGUGCUUUCUAAAAAACGAUUUUUUUAGAUUUGGAUUGUGUUUGAUCACAUCCAAUGCGUUUCUUUGUUGUUAUCGUUCUUAAAUUUCGUGUGUCUGAAUGAUUAUGACUGUGAUUCUUGUUUCGAUAUUUGUUCACUGAGUGAUCCACAAGUACUCGGUUUCGACCAUUGUCACUGAAUAUUCCAAAACCUCUGUUUCCUAUUGCGGGACAACCAAUGGUGCAUCAUCCAAUGUCAACUUGUAAAAGAAUAUCUGCGAGAAAACAAGCCACAUGGUUCAGCUGGUGGGCUUUAUCACUUUAGAAAUCUAAAUUAACACCCAGGAACCAAUUUCUGGUUAUUGGGAAGGGGUGUCGAUAGACACCAAGGGGAGCGUCGAUCGACACCAUCAAUGUUUGGUUCGACCAGGUUGUUUUUAAUUGUCAUUUCUGGUUUGGUUUGAUUUGAUUGGGUUGUCUAAACCAUGUAUAUAAGAGAAAACUCGACCUAGGUCGUGGAAAGAGGUUGUCUUGGCCGUUCUAAGAGAAAAGAGAGAAGAAAGGUGUUCUUGAGAGUUUGGAGACUUUUGGAGAGAUUCUUGGCUUGUGUAGGAGAUAUGUUGCUGUGGAGUGGAGAUCUGGUGCUAGGAACAAAGGAAAAGGCUUCUGAGGGUUGGUUUCGUCUUUGUUGAGUCAGAAUCUUCCUGCAAAAGAGAUGGUUAAGGGUGGAGCUGUUGCUGGUCGUGGACGCACACGUGGUUGGGGACGCGGUCGUGGUUGUGGUAGAGGCAGAGUCCCAGUAGUGAGUGAGUCUUUUGAGCAGAGUGUGACAGCUGAGGGUGUUGGCGAGUCGCAGGACUUCAAGGAGGGGUCCAUGAGUGUGGCCGGUGGUGAUACUGAUAACACCCGAACCAAUUUCUGGUUAUUGGGAAGGGGUGUCGAUCGACACCAAGGGGAGCGUUGAUCGACACCAUCAAUGUUUGGUUCGACCAGGUUGUUUUUAAUUGUCGUUUCUGGUUUGGUUUGAUUUGAUUGGGUUGUCUAAACCAUGUAUAUAAGGGAAAACUCGACCUAGGUCGUGGAAAGAGGUUGUCUUGGCCGUUCUAAGAGAAAAAAGAGAAGAAAGGUGUUCUUGAGAGUUAGGAGGCUUUUAGAGAGAUUCUUGGCUUGUGUGGUGAGAUUUGUUGCUAUGGAGUGGAGAUUUGGUGCUAGGAACAAAGGAGAAGGCUUCUGAGGGUUGGUUUCGUCUUUGUUGAGUCAGAAUCUUCCUGCAAAAGAGAUGGUUAAGGGUGGAGCUGUUGCUGGUCGUGGACGCACACGUGGUUGGGGACGCGGUCGUGGUUGUGGUAGAGGCAGAGUCCCAGUAGUGAGUGAGUCUUUUGAGCAGAGUGUGACAGCUGAGGGUGUUGGCGAGUCGCAGGACUUCAAGGAGGGGUCCAUGAGUGUGGCCGGUGGUGAUACUGAUAACACCCGAACCAAUUUCUGGUUAUUGGGAAGGGGUGUCGAUCGACACCAAGGGGAGCGUUGAUCGACACCAUCAAUGUUUGGUUCGACCAGGUUGUUUUUAAUUGUCGUUUCUGGUUUGGUUUGAUUUGAUUGGGUUGUCUAAACCAUGUAUAUAAGGGAAAACUCGACCUAGGUCGUGGAAAGAGGUUGUCUUGGCUGUUCUAAGAGAAAAAAGAGAAGAAAGGUGUUCUUGAGAGUUAGGAGGCUUUUAGAGAGAUUCUUGGCUUGUGUGGUGAGAUUUGUUGCUAUGGAGUGGAGAUUUGGUGCUAGGAACAAAGGAGAAGGCUUCUGAGGGUUGGUUUCGUCUUUGUUGAGUCAGAAUCUUCCUGCAAAAGAGAUGGUUAAGGGUGGAGCUGUUGCUGGUCGUGGACGCACACGUGGUUGGGGACGCGGUCGUGGUUGUGGUAGAGGCAGAGUCCCAGUAGUGAGUGAGUCUUUUGAGCAGAGUGUGACAGCUGAGGGUGUUGUCGAGUCGCAGGACUUCAAGGAGGGGUCCAUGAGUGUGGCCGGUGGUGAUACUGAUAACACCCGAACCAAUUUCUGGUUAUUGGGAAGGGGUGUCGAUCGACACCAAGGGGAGCGUUGAUCGACACCAUCAAUGUUUGGUUCGACCAGGUUGUUUUUAAUUGUCGUUUCUGGUUUGGUUUGAUUUGAUUGGGUUGUCUAAACCAUGUAUAUAAGGGAAAACUCGACCUAGGUCGUGGAAAGAGGUUGUCUUGGCUGUUCUAAGAGAAAAAAGAGAAGAAAGGUGUUCUUGAGAGUUAGGAGGCUUUUAGAGAGAUUCUUGGCUUGUGUGGUGAGAUUUGUUGCUAUGGAGUGGAGAUUUGGUGCUAGGAACAAAGGAGAAGGCUUCUGAGGGUUGGUUUCGUCUUUGUUGAGUCAGAAUCUUCCUGCAAAAGAGAUGGUUAAGGGUGGAGCUGUUGCUGGUCGUGGACGCACACGUGGUUGGGGACGCGGUCGUGGUUGUGGUAGAGGCAGAGUCCCAGUAGUGAGUGAGUCUGUUGAGCAGAGUGUGACAGCUGAGGGUGUUGUCGAGUCGCAGGACUUCAAGGAGGGGUCCAUGAGUGUGGCCGGUGGUGGUACUGAUAACACCCGAACCAAUUUCUGGUUAUUGGGAAGGGGUGUCGAUCGACACCAUGGGGAGCGUUGAUCAACACCAUCAAUGUUUGGUUCGACCAGGUUGUUUUUAAUUGUCGUUUCUGGUUUGGUUUGAUUUGAUUGGGUUGUCUAAACCAUGUAUAUAAGGGAAAACUCGACCUAGGUCGUGGAAAGAGGUUGUCUUGGCCGUUCUAAGAGAAAAAAGAGAAGAAAGGUGUUCUUGAGAGUUAGGAGGCUUUUAGAGAGAUUCUUGGCUUGUGUGGUGAGAUUUGUUGCUAUGGAGUGGAGAUUUGGUGCUAGGAACAAAGGAGAAGGCUUCUAAAGGUUGGUUUCGUCUUUGUUGAGUCAAAAUCUUCCUGCAAAAGUGGUGAGUGCAUGACCAUGGCUUAUCUAAGCAUGAGAAUCCUUUGUUUGAUUGAUUUGCUGUGUUUUGUGGUGUUGUUCUUGCUUGUGGUGGUUGUGUUAUGGUUGUUAUAGGUUCCUGAAGCUUUUGGGUGAGUUUGGGGCGGAUUGGAGAUGAUUGGAAACGGAAAUUCGACGAUUGGCUUUGCGCAGAACGCGACUGCGGAUUCGGUGUCGGUCGACACCAUGUUUGGUCCAGUGUCGAUCGACACCACUCAGGUCUCAGUCGACACCAACUUGUUUGAUUCGUGAUUUUCCUGCUUUGUUGUGUUUGUUUGUUGUUUGGUAAACAUUGGGAAUCUCAGUUGCUUGUGUGUAUAGCCUAGUAGAUGGG